AUGAUCUUACUGGGUAAGGCACGCAAUGUAUGGUCUACAAGAUGUCUUACAAAAUAUGAUUAUGUAUGGUUCUUUCCAUACUACUGCCAAUCUUCGUGGUGGAAAAUGUCCAAUCAUACAAAUAUACAAUACGGUUAUUGCUAUAAGAAAUGCAUUGUACUUGUACGUAGCUUUCAGGUUGGCUCAAUGAUUCUUCCUCGCAAGUGGGCAAUGGAUGUUCAUACCAUGCUAGCAUUAAGUAAAACUUAUACCAAUAAAUCUAUCUCACUGGGAUUUUCUAUUAUUUUUCCUAUGGAUGUACUGUGUGAAUGGAGGGAACUGCAGGUAUGCACCAAGUUGUUCUUUCUUUGCUACAUGAUUGACAUGCUCUGGCUUGUCCUAUGUAGUAACUUCUUUUGA
rnacentral:rRNA from 1 species